rnacentral:rRNA from 1 species
GACGAACGCUGGCGGCGUGCUUAACACAUGCAAGUCGAACGGAAAGGCCCUGCUUUUGUGGGGUGCUCGAGUGGCGAACGGGUGAGUAACACGUGAGUAACCUGCCCUUGACUUUGGGAUAACUUCAGGAAACUGGGGCUAAUACCGGAUAGGAGCUCCUGCUGCAUGGUGGGGGUUGGAAAGUUUCGGCGGUUGGGGAUGGACUCGCGGGUUAUCAGCUUGUUGGUGGGGUAGUGGCUUACCAAGGCUUUGACGGGUAGCCGGCCUGAGAGGGUGACCGGGGACCUGGGUACUACGAGAGGGACCAGAAGCGUAUGGGCCGCAAUAGUGGGGAAUAUUGCAGAACGGGGGCACGCCUGAGGCAGCAGCGCCGCGUGCGGGAAAACGGCCUUCUGGGUGUAAACCGCUGUCGCAUGUGACGAGGCGUGCGUGACGGUAAUGGGUAAAGAAGCACCGGCUAACUACGUG